GAUGAAGAACGUAGCGAAAUGCGAUAAGUAAUGUGAAUUGCAGAAUUCCGUGAAUCAUCGAAUCUUUGAACGCAUAUUGCGCCCUCUGGUAUUCCGGAGGGCAUGCCUGUCCGAGCGUCAUUGCUGCCCUCAAGCACGGCUUGUGUGUUGGGCCCCGUCCUCCGAUCCCGGGGGACGGGCCCGAAAGGCAGCGGCGGCACCGCGUCCGGUCCUCGAGCGUAUGGGGCUUUGUCACCCGCUCUGUAGGCCCGGCCGGCGCUUGCCGAUCAACCCAAAUUUUUAUCCAGGUUGACCUCGGAUCAGGUAGGGAUACCCGCUGAACUUAAGCAUAUCAAUAAGCGGAGGA
rnacentral:misc_RNA from 1 species